GUCUUCAGGGCGGGGUGCAAUUCCCCACCGGCGGUAUGAUGUCUGGCGCAAGCCAGUGUCGAGCCCGCGAGCGCCCCUGCCAGGCAGGGGGUCAGCAGAUCCGGUUCAAGGCCGGAGCCGACGGUAACAGUCCGGAUGAAAGAAGAUG
rnacentral:ncRNA from 1 species